rnacentral:rRNA from 1 species
AUUGAACGCUGGCGGCAGGCCUAACACAUGCAAGUCGAGCGGCAGCGGGAAAGUAGCUUGCUACUUUUGCCGGCGAGCGGCGGACGGGUGAGUAAUGCCUGGGAAAUUGCCCAGUCGAGGGGGAUAACAGUUGGAAACGACUGCUAAUACCGCAUACGCCCUACGGGGGAAAGCAGGGGACCUUCGGGCCUUGCGCGAUUGGAUAUGCCCAGGUGGGAUUAGCUAGUUGGUGAGGUAAUGGCUCACCAAGGCGACGAUCCCUAGCUGGUCUGAGAGGAUGAUCAGCCACACUGGAACUGAGACACGGUCCAGACUCCUACGGGAGGCAGCAGUGGGGAAUAUUGCACAAAGGGGGAAACCCUGAUGCAGCCAUGCCGCGUGUGUGAAGAAGGCCUUCGGGUUGUAAAGCACUUUCAGCGAGGAGGAAAGGUCAGUAGCUAAUAUCUGCUGGCUGUGACGUUACUCGCAGAAGAAGCACCGGCUAACUCCGUG